rnacentral:rRNA from 1 species
CACGUAGGGUGCGAGCGUUGUCCGGAAUUAUUGGGCGUAAAGAGCCCGUAGGCGGUGUGUCGCGUCGGCCGUGAAAACCUGCAGCUUAACUGUGGGCGUGCGGUCGAUACGGGCAUCACUGGAGUUCGGCAGGGGAGACUGGAAUUCCUGGUGUAGCGGUGAAAUGCGCAGAUAUCAGGAGGAACACCGGUGGCGAAGGCGGGUCUCUGGGCCGAUACUGACGCUGAGGAGCGAAAGCGUGGGGAGCGAACAGG